rnacentral:rRNA from 1 species
GACGAACGCUGGCGGCGUGCCUAAUACAUGCAAGUCGAACGGUCUUUUCUAUGGAAGCUUGCUUCCACUGAGAAGAUAGUGGCGAACGGGUGAGUAACACGUGGGUAACCUGCCCAUAAGAGGGGGAUAACAUCCGGAAACGGGUGCUAAUACCGCAUAGUUUUCUUGAUCGCAUGAUUGAGAAAGGAAAGACGGCCUUUGUGCUGUCGCUUAUGGAUGGACCCGCGGCGUAUUAGUUAGUUGGUGAGGUAACGGCUCACCAAGACGAUGAUACGUAGCCGACCUGAGAGGGUGAUCGGCCACAUUGGGACUGAGACGCGGCCCAAACUCCUACGGGAGGCAGCAGUAGGGAAUCUUCCGCAAUGGACGAAAGUCUGACGGAGCAACGCCGCGUGAGUGAAGAAGGUUUUCGGAUCGUAAAACUCUGUUGUCAGAGAAGAACAAGUUGGAGGGUAACUGCUCCAGCCUUGACGGUAUCUGACCAGAAAGCCACGGCUAACUACGUGCCAGCCGCCGCCGUAACAC